rnacentral:pre_miRNA from 1 species
AGAGAGAUAGCUGGGUCAAAUGGUGUUUCCAUUCCAAUUUUCCCAGAAAUCUCCAUACUGCUUUCUACAUUGGCUGCACCAAUUUGCAGUCCCACCAGCAAU